rnacentral:rRNA from 1 species
UACGUAGGGUGCGAGCGUUAAUCGGAAUUACUGGGCGUAAAGCGCGCGUAGACGGUUUUGUAAGUCAGAUGUGAAAUCCCUGGGCUCAACCUGGGAACUGCAUUUGAGACUGCAUGGCUAGAGUAUCGAAGAGGGAUGCAGAAUUCCAGGUGUAGCGGUGAAAUGCGUAGAUAUCUGGAGGAAUACCGGUGGCGAAGGCGGCAUCCUGGACCGACAUUGACGCUGAUGAGCGAAAGCUAGGGGAGCAAACGGG